AGAGUUUGAUCCUGGCUCAGGAUGAACGCUAGCGGCAGGCCUAAUACAUGCAAGUCGAACGGCAAGUUGAGUAGCAAUACUUGACCUAGAGUGACGUACGGGUGCGUAACACGUAUGCAACCUACCCAAAACAGGAGUAUAGCUCGGGGAAACUCGAAUUAACCCUCCAUAAGAUAGUAGCAGAGCAUUCUGCAGCUAUUAAAACUCAGGUGGUUUUGGAUGGGCAUGCGUUUGAUUAGCUAGUUGGUAGUGUAACGGACUACCAAGGCGAUGAUCAAUAGGGGAACUGAGAGGUUGAUCCCCCACACUGGCACUGAGAUACGGGCCAGACUCCUACGGGAGGCAGCAGUAGGGAAUAUUGGUCAAUGGAUGCAAGUCUGAACCAGCCAUGCCGCGUGCAGGAAGAAGGCCUUCUGGGUUGUAAACUGCUUUUGUCAGGGGAUAAAAAAUUCCUUGCGAGGAAUAUUGAAGGUACCUGGCGAAUAAGCCACGGCUAACUACGUGCCAGCAGCCGCGGUAAUACGUAGGUGGCGAGCGUUGUCCGGAUUUAUUGGGUUUAAAGGGUGCGUAGGCGGUCCUAUAAGUCAGUGGUGAAAUAUCUCAGCUCAACUGAGAGGGUGCCAUUGAUACUGUAGGACUCGAGUGAAUUUGAGGUAGGCGGAAUUGACGGUGUAGCGGUGAAAUGCUUAGAUAUCGUCAAGAACACCGAUAGUGAAGACAGCUUACCAAGCUUCAACUGACGCUGAGGCACGAAAGUGUGGGGAUCAAACAGGAUUAGAUACCCUGGUAGUCCACACUGUAAACGUUGAUUACUCGCUGUUGGCGAUACACAGCCAGCGGCUAAGCGCAAGCGAUAAGUAAUCCACCUGGGGAGUACGCCGGCAACGGUGAAACUCAAAGGAAUUGACGGGGGUCCGCACAAGCGGUGGAGCAUGUGGUUAAUUCGAUGAUACGCGAGGAACCUUACCUGGACUAGAAUGCCCUUGACCGAUCCAGAGAUGGAUUUUUCCGCAAGGACAAGGAGCAAGGUGCUGCAUGGCCGUCGUCAGCUCGUGCCGUGAGGUGUUGGGUUAAGUCCCGCAACGAGCGCAACCCUUAUCUUUAGUUGCCAGCACGUAAUGGUGGGGACUCUAAAGGGACUGCCUGCGCAAGCAGAGAGGAAGGAGGGGAUGACGUCAGGUCAUCAUGGCCCUUACGUCCAGGGCUACACACGUGCUACAAUGGCGUAUACAAAGUGUUGCAAGCCAGCGAUGGUGAGCCAAUCAC
rnacentral:rRNA from 1 species